rnacentral:tRNA from 1 species
GUGGGCGUAGCUCAGUUGGUAGAGCACUGGGUUGUGAUCCCAGGUGUCGCGGGUUCGAGCCCCGUCGUUCACC